rnacentral:rRNA from 1 species
GACGAACCAUGCAAACGUUUAUUCGGAAUCACUGGGCUUAAAGCGUGCGUAGGCGGCUCAGAAAGUUGGGUGUGAAAUCCCUCGGCCUAACCGAGGAAUUGCGCCCAAAACUACUGAGCUCGAGGGAGUUAGAGGUGAGCGGAACUCACGGUGGAGCGGUGAAAUGCGUUGAUAUCGUGAGGAACACCGGAGGCGAAAGCGGCUCACUGGGGCUUCACUGACGCUGAGGCACGAAAAGCUAGGGGGAGCAAAACGGGG